AGCGGGGAGCAAGCUUGCUUGCUCUGCCGGCGACCGGCGCACGGGUGAGUAACACGUAUGCAACCUGCCCUCCGCAGGGGGAUAACCCGGAGAAAUCCGGACUAAUACCGCGUGGUACAUCUGUGGGGCAUCCCACGGGUGUUAAAAGGAAGCGAUUCCGGCGGAGGAUGGGCAUGCGGCGCAUUAGCUUGUUGGCGGGGUAACGGCCCACCAAGGCGACGAUGCGUAGGGGUUCUGAGAGGAAGGUCCCCCACACUGGUACUGAGACACGGACCAGACUCCUACGGGAGGCAGCAGUGAGGAAUAUUGGUCAAUGGGCGGGAGCCUGAACCAGCCAAGUCGCGUGAGGGAAGACGGUCCUAUGGAUUGUAAACCUCUUUAGGCGGGGAGCAAUGCCGGGCACGCGUGCCCGGAGGGAGAGUACCCGCAGAAUAAGCAUCGGCUAACUCCGUGCCAGCAGCCGCGGUAAUACGGAGGAUGCGAGCGUUAUCCGGAUUUAUUGGGUUUAAAGGGUGCGUAGGCGGAUUUUUAAGUCAGCGGUAAAAUGUCCGGGCUCAACCCGGGCCGGCCGUUGAAACUGGGGAUCUUGAGUGGGCGAGAAGUAUGCGGAAUGCGUGGUGUAGCGGUGAAAUGCAUAGAUAUCACGCAGAACUCCGAUUGCGAAGGCAGCAUACCGGCGCCCGACUGACGCUGAGGCACGAAAGCGUGGGGAUCGAACA
rnacentral:rRNA from 1 species